rnacentral:rRNA from 1 species
CCUACGGGAGGCUGCAGUGGGGGAUAUUGCACAAUGGGGGAAACCCUGAUGCAGCGACGCCGCGUGUGGGAAGACGGUCCUCUGGAUUGUAAACCACUGUUGCCAGGGACGAAAAUGACGGUACCUGGGGAGGCAGCUCCGGCUAACUACGUGCCAGCAGCCGCGGUAAUACGUAGGGAGCGCGCGUUGUCCGGAAUUACUGGGUGUAAAGGGAGCGUAGGCGGGGAUGCAAGUUGGGGGUCUAACCUACCGGCUCAACUGGGAGUCGCACUCAAAACUGCAGCUCUUGAGUGAAGUAGAGGCAGGCGGAAUGCCUAGUGUAGCGGUGAAAUGCGUAGAUAUUAGGCGGAACACCAGUGGCGAAGGCGGCCUGCUGGGCUUUUACUGACGCUGAGGCUCGAAAGUGUGGGGAGCAAACAGGAUUAGAUACCCCAGUAGUC